GGGCCGGUCGUCUAGCCUGGUAGGAUAUCGCAUUGGCAUUGCGAAGGUCGAGGGUUCGAAUCCCUCCCGGUCCA
rnacentral:tRNA from 1 species